GACAGAGGUGCCGAGCGUUAGGCGGAAUCACUGGGCUUAAAGCGUGUGUAGGCGGACUCGUAAGUGCUUUGUGAAAUCCCACGGCUCACCCGUGGAACUGCUUGGCAUACUGCGAGCCUUGAGCCACUUAGGGGCAACCGGAACAAACGGUGGAGCGGUGAAAUGCGUAGAGAUCGGAAAGAACACCAACGGCGAAAGCACUCUGCUGGGCCGACACUGACACUGAGAGACGAAAGCUAGGGGAGCGAAUGGG
rnacentral:rRNA from 1 species